UUUUACGGAGAGUUUGAUCCUGGCUCAGGACGAACGCUGGCGGCGUGCUUAACACAUGCAAGUCGAACGAUGAAGCCCAGCUUGCUGGGUGGAUUA
rnacentral:rRNA from 1 species